AAGAUGGAGGCAGAAGAAGGGAAGGGGAGGAAAGGGGAGCAAGCCUGAACGAGCGAGGCAGCGUGAGUGAAGAAGGCCGGCGGGGCGUAAAGCUCUGUUGCGGGGGAAAAAAGGCAGCAUCAGGAAAUGGGUGCUGACUGAUGGUGCCCCGCCAGAAAGUCACGGCUAACUACGUGCCAGCAGCCGCGGUAAUACGUAGGUGGCGAGCGUUAUCCGGAAUGAUUGGGCGUAAAGGGUGCGCAGGCGGUCCUGCACGUCUGGAGUGAAACGCAUGAGCUCAACUCAUGCAUGGCUUUGGAAACUGGAGGACUGGAGAGCAGGAGAGGGCGGUGGAACGCCAUGUGUAGCGGUAAAAUGCGUAGAGAUAUGGAAGAACACCAGUGGCGAAGGCGGCCGCCUGGCCUGUUGCUGACGCUGAGGCACGAAAGCGUGGGGAGCAAAUAGGAUUAGAUACCCGUGUAGUC
rnacentral:rRNA from 1 species